UUUAAGUUGCUGAGCUGGAUGGAUUUUUGUAUGCUUCAGGAAAUUCAAGCCAGGAUUUUAGAAAUAGCUAAUGAGGGCAUCAGUCCAAGUCCCCCCUUAAAUCCACAGGCCUCAUCAUACCAGCAACAGCGUCACCAUCAUAAUGACAAUGAGCAAAUGGCGUUAUGAUAAAGAAUCAGAGGGUGAAUGCCAUCUGAUUCCGGAGGUUUCUCCAUGCGUGUCAACACAGGAAAGGCCAUCACAGAGUUGGAUUGUUUCCUUCCAAAGGUAGAGGAGACCGGCUGAAUGGAGGCAUCUGGUUCAGCGGUUCAUCUCUGAGUGUCCAGACCACUGGCGUGUUGAAGAUGGAUGGAGUGUCCUGGACAGGGAUUUAAAGUCCCCCGAUUUCCAAUCACACAUUCCAGAGGGAUGGUUCUGCCUGAUGAAUGAUCUCUAUUGAGGAGAAGGAGUUAAAAGAAGCAUGUCAUUGCUCUCAUUUGAUGGUGUUUGUAUGUGCCAUGAUGGUGCCUACUUUCAUUUGGCACCAAAUGCUGCAGCCAACACCUUCGAUGGAGUGGUUUAUCAAAACAGAAUAAACCAUCAGCCGCUCUAGUGUAUUGGCAAUAUUCUGUAACUGAUGGUCAUUUGUGUACAAAAGUACUUGUUUUGAAGACUAAAAAUGGCCAAUCUGUGUCCUCCAUACUUGGAUUUAGUUGGUGUGAUGAAACACUCAUGAGGAGAUUUUACAGAAACUGCACUAAAAUUCAGAAUAAUACCUUGUUUUUUGACCUGAGGUGCAUUUUGAGAAAUGACAAAACAUGUUUUUUUUUUAGUACAGUUAGUAAGAAAUGAGAACAGCUGAAAGAAUGAGUCAAUUAAUCUAUUAGUUGAGCAACAGAAAAACAGAACAGAGAAAUUAAUCUGCCAAUAUUUUGAUGAUUGAUUAAUCGUUUAAACUAAAAUGACAAAAAAUAACUGGUUUCAUCUCCUCAAAUGUGAAUAUUUUCUGGUUUUCUUUGUCUUCUAUGAUAGUAAACUAAAUAUUUUGGCUUGUUGGUCAGACAAAAUAAGACAUUUUAAGAUGUUGAAAGGGGCUCUGGGAACAUGUUAUGGCCAUUUUGAGGUUGUUGUUUUUUUUGCUAUUUGCUGACACUCUAUUAGACCAAACAGUUGCGUAAUCAAGAAAAUAGUCAGGAGAUAAUAGUCAGUUGCAGCCCUAGAAAUAAUUUGUAAAGUGACUGAAAGAAAUGUCUAGCACCUGCUCAGAUGUAGACUCCAACUGUAACUUGCAUCAGCUUGUUUCAGUUCUGUAGUGAGUUCUGUUGAAAACAAAUCUGCUUCCUUUUCUACUGUUGGUGCAGGCUUCCUUGUUACUGUAUAUAUGUAAAUACAACCAGCCAGCUUCUAUCAAAGCAGCCAGGCAGGAGGAAUUCCCUCUAAAAAAAAACUUCGCCCUGGAUCAGCGCUUCUGAACAAAAAUGGCUCCCAUGCAUCACCCAUAUGGGGCCCUCUGUGCCGGAUGUACAGCAUUUGUGAACCUAAAGUGCCGUCACCAGUGUUUUUCUUUCACUGCAUCACACAUCCUCUGUUGUAUCACUUCAGUGAAAGUUUGAUCUUUUCAAUCAUAUUAAUAUAGGUGUUAUAUUUUCAUUCAUUAAUAGAUAUCACAGCAUCAAAAAGCUUUGCAGGAUAAGAAACUGAUGGCGUAUUAGAGAGAUUCAGUAGAUUCUGGAGUUAAUAUGCCAAGUAGAGCAUGUACUAAUCAGUGGCAGAGCUCACAUGCAGGAAGAAACAAAUGAUAAAACACAGCCGGAGGGGAAUGAUGACUUGUCACAGGGGCAUAGCCUGAAAUUCGGAGGCAUGUAACAGAAUAUGUUUCUCAGUCAUGUUAAAAUUUUAGUGGGCCCUCAGACAUGCCAUAGGUGUACCUUUGCUUGGCCCCUAGAAUUUACACUACCUCUUACACCACUAGCUUUGACACUGACUUAUCAUACAAUGCUAGAAAAGCAGUAGGAUUCACAUGCUGCUGUUUUUGAGCAUUGCCUUUAUUAGAUAGUAUGCAGUACAGAGCU